AGCAGCCGCGGUAAUUCCAGCUCCAAUAGCGUAUAUUAAAGUUGUUGCAGUUAAAAAGCUCGUAGUUGAAUUUCGGGAUCAAUUUAUCGGUCGUGCCAAUGGUAUGAACUGGUACAAUUGGUUUCUCCCUUCUGACGAAGCAUGAUGUCAUUAAUUUGGUGUCGUGGGGAAUCAGGACUGUUACUUUGAAAAAAUUAGAGUGUUUAAAGCAAGCAUUAGCUUGAAUACAUUAGCAUGGAAUAAUGAGAUAGGACGUUUGAUCCUAUUUCGUUGGUUUCUAGGAUCGACGUAAUGAUUAAUAGGGAUAGUUGGGGGCAUUAGUACUCAAUUGUCAGAGGUGAAAUUCUUGGAUUUAUUGAAGACUAACUACUGCGAAAGCAUUUGCCAAGGAUGUUUUCAUUAAUCAAGAACGAAAGUUAGGGGAUCGAAGACGAUCAGAUACCGUCGUAG
rnacentral:rRNA from 1 species